CACUCCUCCUCAGUGAUUAUCGGUGACCUUGUGAAGACUGUGGAGAGAGAAACAACCCACAGAGCGUCAUUCAGCCGGCCCACAGCCUGCAGGCCACGAGUGGUCAAAGAGCGUUUGAAGAUCAACCUUGGAAAUACCUCAAAGAACCCUUGGUCCUCUACUUCAAAAGAAACGUACUGUUGUCACAAGCUGGGCGGUCCAGUUGUGCUGAGAAGGGGAAAGAAAACCUCCAGUUCCUUACCCAGUGGAGACACUGAUACGAGUCGCAACAGAGAGAGACUGUCGCUCACCACUAAUAGAGUCUCCUUCUCCGAUGUGAGACAACAGAUUUAUCCGUUUUAUUUGUUUUUUG